AUACCCUACUAUGCCUAGCCGUAACACAACAAUCAAAUUACCAAUUGUUCGCCAAAUAACUACGAGUAAAGACUUAAAAUUUAAAAGACUUGACGGUACCUCAUAACAACCUAGAGGAGCCUGUCAAAUAACCGAUACUCCACGAUUAACCCAACCUCCCCUAGCCUUAACAGUCUAUAUACCGCCGUCGCCAGCCUACCUUGUGAAAGAAACAAAGUGAGCUAAAUAGCCACCACACUAACACGACAGGUCGAGGUGUAACUUAUGGGAAGGACCAUGAUGGGCUACAUUUUCUAAAACAGAAAACACGAAUAAACUAUGAAAUAAGAAACUGAAGGCGGAUUUAGCAGUAAACUAAGAACAAAAUACCUAGUCGAAACCAAUGCAAUGAGGUGCGUACACACCGCCCGUCAUCCCUGUCAACUAAACAACAAAAUUCAUAAACACAAAUACUACCCAAAACAGGGCAAGUCGU
rnacentral:rRNA from 1 species